CCUACGGGAGGCAGCAGUAGGGAAUUUUCGUCAAUGGGGGGAACCCUGAACGAGCAAUGCCGCGUGAGUGAAGAAGGUCUUCGGAUCGUAAAGCUCUGUUGUAAGUGAAGAACGGUCAGUAGAGGAAAUGAUACUGAAGUGACGGUAGCUUACCAGAAAGCCACGGCUAACUACGUGCCAGCAGCCGCGGUAAUACGUAGGUGGCGAGCGUUAUCCGGAAUCAUUGGGCGUAAAGGGUGCGCAGGUGGUACAUUAAGUCCGAAGUAAAAGGCAGCAGCUCAACUGCUGUUGGCUUUGGAAACUGGUGAACUGGAGUGCAGGAGAGGGCGAUGGAAUUCCAUGUGUAGCGGUAAAAUGCGUAGAUAUAUGGAGGAACACCAGUGGCGAAGGCGGUCGCCUGGCCUGCAACUGACACUGAGGCACG
rnacentral:rRNA from 1 species